AUUGAACGCUGGCGGCAGGCCUAACACAUGCAAGUCGAACGAGUGGCGGACGGGUGAGUAAUGUAUGGGAAACUGCCUGAUGGAGGGGGAUAACUACUGGAAACGGUAGCUAAUACCGCAUACUAUCAGAUGUGCCCAGAUGGGAUUAGCUUGUUGGUGGGGUAACGGCUCACCAAGGCGACGAUCCCUAGCUGGUCUGAGAGGACGACCAGCCACACUGGAACUGAGACACGGUCCAGACUCCUACGGGAGGCAGCAGUGGGGAAUAUUGCACAAUGGGGGAAAGCCUGAUGCAGCCAUGCCGCGUGUAUGAAGAAGGCCUUCGGGUUGUAAAGUACUUUCAGCGGGGAAGCGUUACCCGCAGAAGAAGCACCGGCUAACUACGUGCCAGCAGCCGCGGUAAUUC
rnacentral:rRNA from 1 species